rnacentral:lncRNA from 1 species
UCGAAAGUUAUCGUUCGCCUAUGUAUCUCUAGAUCCAAUAGGGAAAUCAAGACUACAUAAUUAUGGUUUGAAAAUAAUUAGAUUAGUUUGGUUGACUUUUGUUGAUUGGGAAAAUAUCGAUGGAUUUGGUGGAGUUGAUUUUAAUUGAUUUUGAAAUAUUUAUAAUAUAUCAUUAUUUUAAUUCAAUGGAACUAAUAGCUUAGAGACGGUGUCUUCCCAUUUUUAGAGAAGUUAAAG